GUGCUCAAUUCAGAGUCAAACAUACUAAAAUUGGAAUUAUACAGAGAAGAUUAGCAUGGUCCCUGUGCAAAUUCAUGAAGCAUUCCAUAACUGACAGGGUACCCACCCUA